AGAGUUUGAUCCUGGCUCAGAACGAACGCUGGCGGCGUGCUUAACACAUGCAAGUCGAACGUGAUCCGGAGCUUGCUCCGGUGAAAGUGGCGCACGGGUGAGUAACGCGUGGAUAAUCUGCCCUGGUAUCUGGGAUAACAUCUCGAAAGGGGUGCUAAUACCGGAUAAGCCUACGGUCUCUUCGGAGUCUGCAGGAAAAGGUGGCCUCUAUUUAUAAGCUACCGUAUCAGGAUGAGCCUGCGUCCCAUUAGCUAGUUGGCGGGGCAAAGGCCCACCAAGGCUGAGAUGGGUAGCUGGUCUGAGAGGAUGAUCAGCCACACUGGAACUGGAACACGGUCCAGACUCCUACGGGAGGCAGCAGUGAGGAAUUUUGCGCAAUGGGGGAAACCCUGACGCAGCAACGCCGCGUGAGUGAUGAAGGCCUUCGGGUCGUAAAGCUCUGUCGAGUGGGAAGAAACCGUUCAGAUUAAUAACCUGAACCUUGACGGUACCACUAAAGGAAGCACCGGCUAACUCCGUGCCAGCAGCCGCGGUAAUACGGGGGGUGCAAGCGUUAUUCGGAAUUAUUGGGCGUAAAGGGUGCGUAGGCGGUUUUGUAAGUCAGAUGUGAAAUCCCGGGGCUUAACCCCGGAACUGCAUUUGAUACUGCAAGACUUGAGUAUGGGAGAGGAGAGCGGAAUUCCUGGUGUAGAGGUGAAAUUCGUAGAUAUCAGGAGGAACACCGGUGGCGAAGGCGGCUCUCUGGACCAAUUCUGACGCUGAGGCACGAAGGCGUGGGGAGCAAACAGGAUUAGAUACCCUGGUAGUCC
rnacentral:rRNA from 1 species